UCGGAUAAAGUUUCUCUGUGUUCGCACAGGAACAGUUCAAAAUUAAAUCGGGGAUUGAGUAACUAGAAAAGCGAAUUCGUCGCUGUCCAAGAACCGUUUAAUUAAAGCUAAACCAACAACUUUCGUACCUCUAAAAAGGGUGGAAUGAAUACAGUCUCCCCAGCCUUCCUGUCCUCUACAACCGUAUGAAGGCCGAAGCGCAGAGCUCCCGUGAAGCGUGAAACUGGGGAGAUGAGCGGUGAAUUCGAAGCGGCAGGUGAUCCCGGAGAGCAGCCGGACUCACCUCGCGGUCCCAGGUUACCCACCGUCUCUCCGGCUGUGUCCUGAAAGAGCAGCGUUUCCUCUCCCGGGGCUCCAGACUGCGGACCGCCUGAGCGAUGUUCAAUACUGACUAAUAACGGCUGGAUUCAUUAAGCCUGUAUAGUUUAUUUUUGAAUAAACUAAUGUAUUACAGGAUUUUCUUAAUGACUGAAUUUCGAGGUGGGGUUAAUGUACCUGAGGGUUACCUCAUCUAGGACUAGCGAGUUUCAAUGUGUGAUCUUCCCAUCUCUUUAAAGAGCCUACAGCUAUUUCUCUUGUCGCUGCAAGCUGUUCACGGUGCCCGUCGGUCAUGAAGUUAGGUGCUUCAUCUUCCUCUUUAUGUACUGCACCAGCUUCUUUCCUGCAACUUGACUGUAAAACCCCAGUUGCUUGUAUGUGCACAAAAGGAUCCUGCCUGUGAACAAGCACCUGUUUACUAACAGAAUGAUCUUGCAUCAUAAUUCUGGUAAAAUACACUCUAAAUCCUGCAGUCCUCUAUUAGAAAAUAUUGCUCUUGGCCAAACUGGUGUAGGCAGUAAUACAGAUCUGGAGGAGCAGCUCUAGCCUUAACUGCCUUGAGCUCUACUUGUGGCAGGUGUGUAGUCCUGUUAACAUGUAGACUGCUGAGCAGCUAAAAGCAGGAAGGAGAAGGGCCUCCUGUGUUAAUUGUAAAGUGCUCUGUGUAGAAAUGGUUAAUGUGUUAUUGACCAGAAUUUGAAAGAGAAUACAAACAAGUUGGGGAGCUUAAUGUGCUUUCCUGUGGCUUAGCUCACCAUGUGGAAAAAUCACCACAGCA